rnacentral:rRNA from 1 species
UACGUAGGGACCAAGCGUUGUCCGGAUUCAUUGGGCGUAAAGGGUGCGUAGGCGGCGCGGUAAGUCGGGUGUGAAAUCUCGGAGCUUAACUCCGAAACUGCAUUCGAUACUGCCGUGCUUGAGGACUGGAGAGGAGACUGGAAUUUACGGUGUAGCGGUGAAAUGCGUAGAUAUCGAGAGGAACACCGGUGGCGAAGGCGGCCAACUGGACGAAUACUGACGCUGAGACUCGAAAGCGUGGGGAGCAAACAGG